CAGCAGCCGCGGGAAAACAGAGGGUGCAAGCGUUAAUCGGAAUUACUGGGCGUAAAGCGCGCGUAGGUGGUUUGUUAAGUUGGAUGUGAAAUCCCCGGGCUCAACCUGGGAACUGCAUCCAAAACUGGCAAGCUAGAGUAUGGUAGAGGGUGGUGGAAUUUCCUGUGUAGCGGUGAAAUGCGUAGAUAUAGGAAGGAACACCAGUGGCGAAGGCGACCACCUGGACUGAUACUGACACUGAGGUGCGAAAGCGUGGGGAGCAAACAGGAUUAGAUACCCGUGUAGUCCCUGUCUCUUAUAC
rnacentral:rRNA from 1 species